CUAUUAGGGUGAUGUGUUCACGACCCGGACAAGGUCUCGACCCGGACAGUCUUGAUUAACCAAUGAAGGAUCGAGUCUAGGAUGACGUCAGAGCUAUGACGUAUGAGGGAAGGCGGUCCUAACUAGACGCCAUUUGCAAACCUACCCGCCAACGCUUCGCUUGUAAACAAGAUCCUUCGUGCCUCGCAGCCAUGCCUCGCAACUACCAGCCCAAGAACAUCCUAACCACGGACUGGACCAACUUGGAGAAGGCCUUUAAUCACCGAGUUGAGACAGGCUGUAGUAUCCGCACUGCUAGCAACCUUUUUGGAGUGAAACCUUCGACUCUUGGGGAUGCUUUCACUCGGUCCCUCAAGGAGAGUGAUGGGAGGACGUUCGUGCCAAAGCAGCAGAACGUCAAGAAGGUUUUCACCGAUGCGCAGGAACUCUUAAUCGAGGAAUACUCGAUAAAGAUUGCGCGCAUGUUCUACGGCCUGCCGACGAGAGCUUUCAGGAGGAUGGUCCUGAAGUAUGCAGAGGCUGUUGGCAGCCCGGCUAUUCCUGAUGUCUGGAGGAGGGAAGGUAUGGCCACCCGUGACUGGUAUUACGGGUAUAUGUUCCGUCAUCCAAAGCUUGCACUGAAGGCUCCGGAGGGCAUGUCACUUUCG